AACGAACGCUGGCGGCAGGCCUAACACAUGCAAGUCGAGCGCCCUGCUUGCAGGGAGCGGCGGACGGGUGAGUAACGCGUGGGAACAUGCCCUUCAGUAGAGAAUAGCCACUGGAAACGGUGAGUAAUACUCUAUACGCCCUACGGGGGAAAGAUUUAUCGCUGAAGGAUUGGCCCGCGUUGGAUUAGCUAGUUGGUGGGGUAAUGGCCUACCAAGGCAACGAUCUAUAGCUGGUCUGAGAGGAUGAUCAGCCACACUGGGACUGAGACACGGCCCAGACUCCUACGGGAGGCAGCAGUGGGAAUAUUGGACAAUGGGGGCAACCCUGAUCCAGCCAUGCCGCGUGAGUGAAGAAGGCCCUAGGGUUGUAAAGCUCUUUCAGAUGUGAGGAUGAUGACAGUAACAUCAGAAGAAGCCCCGG
rnacentral:rRNA from 1 species